UACAGAGGGGACAAGCGUUGUUCGGAAUUACUGGGCGUAAAGGGCGCGUAGGCGGCCUUCUAAGUCGAACGUGAAAUCCCUGGGCUCAACCCAGGAACUGCGUCCGAUACUGGGAGGCUUGAAUCCGGGAGAGGGAUGCGGAAUUCCAGGUGUAGCGGUGAAAUGCGUAGAUAUCUGGAGGAACACCGGUGGCGAAGGCGGCAUCCUGGACCGGUAUUGACGCUGAGGCGCGAAAGCCAGGGGAGCAAACGGG
rnacentral:rRNA from 1 species